rnacentral:rRNA from 1 species
UACGGAAGGCAGCAGGGGGAAUAUUGCACAAUGGGCGAAAGCCUGAUGCAGCUAUGCCGCGUGUAUGAAGAAGGCCUUAGGGUUGUAAAGUACUUUCAUCGGGGAGGAAAAAACAAAACUAAUAAUUUUAUUUCUUGACGUUACCCGAAAAAGAAGCACCGGCUAACUCCGUGCCAGCAGCCGCGGUAAUACGGAGGGUGCUAGCGUUAAUCAGAAUUACUGGGCGUAAAGAGCACGUAGGUGGUUUUUUUAAAGUCAGAUGUGAAAUCCCUGGGCUUAACCUAGGAACUGCAUUUUGAAACUGAAAUACUAGAGUAUCGUAGAGGGAGGUAGAAUUCUAGGUGUAGCGGUGAAAUGCGUAGAUAUCUGGAGGAAUACCUGUGGCGAAAGCGGCCUCCUAAACGAAUACUGACACUGAGGGUGCGAAAGCGUGGGGAGCAAACAGGGAUAGAUACC